rnacentral:rRNA from 1 species
GACGAACGCUGGCGGCGUGCUUAACACAUGCAAGUCGAACGCUGAAGCUCAGCUUUUGUUGGGUGGAUGAGUGGCGAACGGGUGAGUAACACGUGAGUAACCUGCCCCCUUCUUUGGGAUAACGCCCGGAAACGGGUGCUAAUACUGGAUAUUCACUGGUCUUCGCAUGGGGGUUGGUGGAAAGGGUUUUUCUGGUGGGGGAUGGGCUCGCGGCCUAUCAGCUUGUUGGUGGGGUGAUGGCCUACCAAGGCUUUGACGGGUAGCCGGCCUGAGAGGGUGACCGGUCACAUUGGGACGGAGAUACGGCCCAGACUCCUACGGGAGGCAGCAGUGGGGAAUAUUGCACAAUGGGCGCAAGCCUGAUGCAGCGACGCCGCGUGAGGGAUGGAGGCCUUCGGGUUGUGAACCUCUUUCGCUCAUGGUCAAGCCGCAACAAUGGUUGUGGUGAGGGUAGUGGGUAAAGAAGCGCCGGCUAACUACGUG